CCUACGGGAGGCAGCAGCAGGGAAUUUUGCGCAAUGGGCGAAAGCCUGACGCAGCAACGCCGCGUGGGGGAUGAAGGCUCUUGGGUCGUAAACCCCUUUUGCCGGGGAAGAUAAUGACGGUACCUGACGAAUAAGCCUCGGCUAACUACGUGCCAGCAGCCGCGGUAAUACGUAGGAGGCGAGCGUUAUCCGGAUUUAUUGGGCGUAAAGAGCGCGUAGGCGGCCUAUUAAGUCGGUUGUAAAAUCUCCCGGCUCAACUGGGAGGGGUCAUCCGAAACUGGUAGGCUUGAGGACAGCAGAGGGAGAUGGAAUUCCCGGUGUAGUGGUGAAAUGCGUAGAUAUCGGGAGGAACACCAGUGGCGAAGGCGGCUCUCUGGGACAGUACUGACGCUGAGGCGCGAAAGCUAGGGGAGCAAACAGGAUUAGAUACCCUGGUAGUCCUAGCCGUAAACGAUGGACACUAGGUGUCGGGGGUGUCGACUCCCUCGGUGCCGAAGCUAACGCAUUAAGUGUCCCGCCUGGGGAGUACGGCCGCAAGGCUAAAACUCAAAGGAAUUGACGG
rnacentral:rRNA from 1 species